rnacentral:rRNA from 1 species
CAGCCGCCGCGGUAAUACGGAGGGUGCAAGCGUUAAUCGGAAUUACUGGGCGUAAAGCGCACGCAGGCGGUCUGUCAAGUCAGAUGUGAAAUCCCCGGGCUUAACCUGGGAACUGCAUUUGAAACUGGCAGGCUAGAGUCUUGUAGAGGGGGGUAGAAUUCCAGGUGUAGCGGUGAAAUGCGUAGAGAUCUGGAGGAAUACCGGUGGCGAAGGCGGCCCCCUGGACAAAGACUGACGCUCAGGUGCGAAAGCGUGGGGAGCAAACAGGAUUAGAGACCCCAGUAGUCCCUGUCUCUUAUAC